rnacentral:lncRNA from 1 species
CUAUAGGUCUCCAUUUUCUGAUUUCUCUAAUCCUAUACAACAGCUUGGGAACAAAGAAAGAGAAGCCAGAAGCCAAAGACAGUUCUCUUUUGCAGCCUUCAGGUUAAUCAAAGAAAAAAAAGAAUCACUGCUCUUGAUGUAAACUGAAAAAAGGAGACUAAAAACAUCUAGAUUCUAGAAGUGAUACUUCAGAGGAGGAUCCGGCUUCACGAAUAGAAUGUCCAAAGAAAAUAUACUUAUGAGACCCUCAUCCCAGUUUAAAAAUCUUCAGAUUAUUAUGCCUAUGGAAGAAUGGCUGCACCCCAGUGUGCUGGCCACUUGGCAACUUUGCAUAUCUCUACAUUGGCCACAAAAGGAAGUUUCAACACUCAGCAAGCCCAAGUCUUGGUGGAAAGCCCUGUGAUCCCACCAAUGUAUGGCAAAAUAGGUAUCCUUUAAUACACUUUCACUGGCCUUUUCCCAACUGCUUGUCUGUUUGGGGGGAGAUGCCCUAUCCUGCUGGAUGCUUCCAUGAGUUGGUACAGAAUCGACUCUCCCACAAUAGGGAAACCAAUCACUUGUGACAUCUCUCAUCUGGCCCCUCCAGUUUGGUGCCAUCCUGUGGAAUUUGGGAGACUCACUCCAUGUUGAUAUUGCUUACACUGUCAGUGUAAGUAAUAAAUUGUCACAAUCAACUAAAGUUUGUUAUCUC